rnacentral:rRNA from 1 species
UACAGAGGUCUCAAGCGUUUGUUCGGAUUCAUUGGGCGUAAAGGGUGCGUAGGCGGCGCGGUAAGUCGGGUGUGAAAUCUUGGAGCUUAACUCCGAAACUGCAUUCGAUACUGCCGUGCUUGAGGACUGGAGGAGGAGACGUAGGUAAUUUGACGGUGUAGCGGUGAAAUGCGUAGAUAUCGGGAGGAACACCGGUGGCGAAGGCGGUUCUCUGGGCCUGUACUGACGCUGAGGAGCGAAAGUGUGGGGAGCGAACAGG